rnacentral:rRNA from 1 species
UAAACUAGGAUUAGAUACCCUAUUACCCUAAACGGAUUGAGUAAUCUCAAGAGAGUAAAUGCUUUAGGUCACGAAAUCAAGAUGGGGUGGCAGCUGAUAAUCUAACCAGAGGCGAAUGCUUUUAAGCGAAAUUGCACGGGAAUCUUACCAUCUUUUAUAUUUUGUACACCGCUGUCGGAAGGUGGGAGAGAAAACGGCUACCUGUUUCCAUUUUAGGGGAAUAAGUCAAGUCAAGGUGCAGACCAUAAGAUGGAAGGGGUGUUCGUCAAUUUAUUAUUUACUAUGAGACUCAAUCCCAUGAAAUUGGGGUCAAACAGAAUUUGGAAGUAAAGGUUUUCCAUUAAACUACCUUGAAU